UAAGCCACUGUGCCGGCCAAUUCAUUUUAAAUAAACGUUAUUGAGGUAUAAUUUACAUACAAUAAAACUCAUUCAUACAUUUUAAGCAUUCAGUUGGACAACUUUUGACAAAUGCAUGCACCUAAACAAGAUAUAACACCUGUCCAUCACCCCAGAAAGUGUUUUAGUCCCCCACUUGCAGUCACCUCAGUCCCAGUUCAUCGUUGAUCUGCUUUCUGUAACUAUAAAUUAGUUCUCUUCGUUUAAAAAUUUUAUAUAAAUGAAUCAUAUGGUAGGCACUCUUGCAUCCAGCUUUUAUUUUACACAGUGAUUUUAAGACUCAUCCAUGUUGUUGCAUCUAUUAGUAAUUUCAAUCUUUUUAUUACUAUCCCUUUCUAUGAAGAGAACAAAUUUUGUUUACCCAUUUCCUAGUUGAUGGAUUACUUGAAUUGUUUCCAAUUUUUAGCAAUUGUGAAUAAAGCUGUUACGCACAUUUGGAUACAAGCCUUUUAAAAAGACAACCUAUUAUUCCAAUGUAGACUUCCACAAGCUUUUGAGCAAUCAAAUCAAACAGCAUUAUGGUGGCCACUAGCUACUUACGCCUAUUCACAUUUGUGUACAAGUCUUUUUGUGGGCCUAUGUUUUUAUGGUACUUCAGUAAAUACAUAACAGUAGAAUUGCUGGGUCAAAUGGUGGGUGUUUGUUUAGAUUUAAAAUAAACUCCAGUAGUUCUCCCAAGCAGUUGUACUAUUUUAUUUUAUUUGUAUCUUUAUUUUUUGAGACAGGGUCUCACUCUAUCACCCAGGCUGGAGAGCAGUAGCAUGAUCACAGCUCACUGCAGUCUCGACCUCCCUGGCUCAGGUGAUUCUCCCACUUCAGCCUGCUGGGGUAGUUGGUAUUACAGAUGCAUGCCACCACACCCAGCUAAUUUUUUGUAUUUUUAGUAGAGAUGGGGUUUUUCCACAUUGCCCAGGCUGGUCUCAAACUCCUGGGCUCAAGCAGUCUGCCCGUCUUGGCCUCCCAAAGUGCUGGGAUUACAGACGUGAGGCACUGCAUCCAGCCUGUACUAUUUUAAGUUCUUGCCAGUGAGCUAGGAGUUUCAGCUGCCCUACAUUCUAACCAAUACUGGUAUCACACAUCUUUUUAAUUUCAGCCAUGCUUGUGGGUGUGAGGUAGCAUCUUACUGUGGUUUCAUUCUGCAUCUCCCUGAAGACUACUGAGGGAAAGGUUUUUAAAGCUGCGCUUGGAGCAUGAAACAAAAUGAGAAAGACUUCAGCUUCUCGGCGUGGGGAAGGUGAUGUCAUGCCAGCGGGGGCGGCGGAAAGGGCUGCCUGUGCUUCCCCUUCACUCUCGGGACGCGGCUGUGGGCUGGGCAGGAGGGAGCCAAGUCUGGGGUGCACUGGGGAGCCCAGAACCACUGCUAUGCUCUGCAAAACUCUGAGGCGCUUCCAAAAGUUUGGAGCUGGGCACGUAUUUUACUGAUUUCUAAAAAUCGUAAGCGGUUGUUCGGGGGGAGGAGAAGGGUGUUGGGGUGACGGGGUGUCCGCGCUGGAGACUCAGCUGUGUGCGCCCUGAUUCAGACGAGGGAGGCCUUCCAGGUGGGGGUGGGCAGGGAGCUUCUGGGGAAGAAUGCAUCCUGAGGGCGGAGAGCUACAGGGUAAGGGGGCCAGGCUGUCGGCUUUAGAGGGGUGUCUGCGUUUGGCUGCAGCCCAGCCCCCAGGCUCCAGAGUCUGGGAGCCGCGAAGGAGCCGCCCUUAUCAGGCAGUAGGGCGAGCUGCCCCAGGGGACAGUCUCUGUGCUGAGGGCAUUCCUCGGCCUGGGUCGCGGCGCCUACUAGCAGGGGGUUCCAGGAUUCCCAGGGCAGAGCUGUCCGGCGUGAGGUGUCCAGCUGGCUUGAGGCCUGUGGCCCUGAAGGCCGGGUGGGCCAGGAGGCUGAGAGGCAGCCAUCUUUAAAGGGAGCCAGAGCAGGGAGGGAAACGGAGCUCUUCCCCUGCCGUCCUGGCGCUGUUCCUGCCAAUAGACAAGGCAGAUGUGUACAAUGAUUAUAGUCUUUUUGUUUGUUUUAAGAGACAGCCUUGCUGUGUUGCCCAGGCUGGAGUGAGUGCAGUGGCUUGUUCAUAGCUCACUGCAGCCUGGAACUCCUGGGCUCAGGGGAUCCUCCCACUUCAGCUUCCCAAGUAACUGGGACUACAGGUGUGUGCCACCAUGCCCUGCUAAUUUUUUUUUUUUUUUUUUUUUUGAGACGGAGUUUCGCUCUUGUUGCCCAGGCUGGAGUGCAAUGGCGGGAUCUCAGCUCACUGCAACCUCUGCCUCCCAGGUUCAAGCGAUUCUCCUGCCUCUCGGCCUCCCGAGUAGCUGGGAUUACAGGCAUGUGCCACCACUCCCAGCUAAUUUUAUAUUUUUAGUAAAGACGGGGUUUCUCCAUGUUGGUCAGGCUGGUUUUGAACUCCCGACCUCAGGUGAUCCGCCUGUCUCGGCCUCCCAAAGUGCUGGGAUUACAGGUGUUAGCCACUGCACCCAGCCACCCCACUAAUUUUUAAAUUAUUUAUUUAUUUAGAGACAGAAUCUCACGCUGUCACCCAGGUUGGAAUGCAGUGGCACCAUCAUAGCUCACUGCAGCCUCAACCUCCAGGGUUCCAGGGAUUCUCCUGCUUUAGCCUCCCAAGCAGCUGGGACUAUAGGCGUGGGCCAGCCCAUCAGACUAAUUUUUUUUUUCAGAUCCUCACAUCUCAGAUGAACGUCCAGCUAAUUUUAAAAAGUUUUGUAGAGAUGGGGUCUUGCUAUGUUGACCAGACUGGUCUCGAACUCCUGGGCUCAAGCAACUCUCCUACCUCAGCCUCCCAAAGUGUUAGGAUUACAGGUGGGAGCCAUCACACCACCCAGCCUGAUUAUAACAUUUUAACUGUGGGCCAGGCACUGUGCUAAGUCUAAGUCUGCGUAUGUUCAAAGUAGCCUUUACAACUGGUCUAUCGAGGUAGGUGUUUAUCAUUCCUGUUUUACAGAGGACUCAAAGGUAAAUGAUAUGGCAGAUGUGGUCAGUGCCCCAAUGUCUCCCGGGCACUGGGAGGUGACCUCAGACCAUUCCAUGUGUGCCUGUGGCUCCCUGUAUCUCUCUACAGGGCAUGCUCUAUGGCCCUUGGAGUGUGGGGAGUUAACACCUCAAGAGUGAUUCUCAGCUGGUGGGCGAGGGAUGGGAGUUGUAUGAAAACCCCAGGGUGCUUGCUCCUUGAUGAGACAAUUUUAUUUUUAAUUGUAGUAAAAAAAACACAUAGCAUAAAAUUUACCAUCUGAACCAUUUAUAAGUGUAUAGUACAGUAGUAUUAACUGUUUGCACCUUGUUGUGUAAUAGAACUUUUCAUCUUGCAAAACUGAAACUCUAUACCCAUUAAAUAACUCCUCAUUCCCUCUCUCUGCAGGCCCUGGCAACCACAUUCUACUUUCUGUCUGUGAAUUUGACACUUUAGGUACCUUGUAUGCAGUAUGUGUCCUUCUGUGACUGGCUUAUUUCACUGAGCAUAAUGUCCUCAAGGUUCGUCCAUGUUGUAACGUGUGUCUGAAUUUCCCUUUUUUUUUUUUUUGUAUUUUUAGUAGAGAUGUGGUUUCACUAUGUUGGCCAGGCUGGUCUUGAACACCUGACCUCAUGAUCCACCCGCCUCAGCCUCCCAAAGUGCUGGGAUUACAGGCAUGAGCCACUGCAUCCAGCCAGCAUUUAUCCUUUCUUUGUGUUACAAACAAUCCAGUUAUACUCUUAGUUUUCUUUAAAUGUAUAAUAUACUAUUGUUGACUGCUGUCACUUUGUUGUGCUAUCAAAUAUUAGAUCUUAUUUAUUCUCUCUAACUAUAUUUUUGUAUCCAUUAACCAUCCCCACUCUACCCCCACCCCACUACCCUUCCCAGCCUCUGGUAACCAUCCUUUUACUCUCUAUCACCAUGAGUUCAAUUGUUGUAAUAUUUAGCUCCCACAAAUAAGUGAGGACAUGUGAAGUUUGUCUUUCUGUGCAUGGCUUGUUUCACUUAACAUAAGAACCUCCAGUUCCGUUCAUGUUGUUGCAAAUGACAGGAUCUCAUUCUUUUUUAUGGCAGAAUAGUACUCCAUUGUGUAUAUGUACCACAUUUUCUUUAUCCAAUCAUCUGUUGAUGGACACUUAGGUUGCUUCCAAAUCUUGGCUAUUGUGAACAGAGCUGCAACAAACAUGGAAGUGCAGAUAUCCUUUCAUUAUGCUGAUUUCCUUUUUUGGGGGUAUAUUUUUAGCAGUGGAAUUGCUGGAUCAUAUGGUAGUUCUAUUUUUAGUUUUUUGAGGAACCUCCAAGCUGUUCUCCCUAGUGGCUGUACUAAUUUACAUUCCCACCAACAGUGUACAAGGGUUCCCUUUUCUCCACAUCCUUGACAGCAUUUGUUAUUGCCUGUCCAAAAGACAAAAGCCAUUUUAACUGGGGUGAGAUGACCUCUCAUUGUAGUUUUGAUUUGCAUCUCUCUGAUGACCGAUAAUGUUGAGCACCUUUCAAUAUGCCUGUUUGCCAUCUGUAUGUUUUCUUUUGAGAAAUGUCUAUUCAGAUCUUUUGCCCAUUUUUGGUUGGAUUAUUAGAUUUUUUUCUAUAGACUGGUUUGAGCUCCUUAUAUGUCCUGGCUAUUAAUUCUUUGCCAGAUGGAUAGUUUGCAGAUAUUUUCUCCUAUUCUGUGGGUUGUUUCUUUAUUUUGUUGAUUGUUUCCUUUGCUGUGCAGAAGCUUUUUAACUUGAUAUGUUUUGUCCAUGUUUGCUUUAGUUGUCUGUGCUCGUGGGGUAUUAUUCAAGAAAUCUUUGCUCAGUCCAAAGUCCUGGAGAGAUUUUUUCCCAAUGUUUUCUUUUAAUAGUGUCAUAGUUUCAGGUCUUAGAUUUAAGUCUUUAAUACGUUUUGAUUUGAUUGUUGUAUAUGGCAAGAGAUAGGGGUCUAGUUUCAUUCUUCUGCAUAUGGAUAUCCAGUUUUCCCAGCACUAUUUAUUGAAGAGACUGUCCUUUCCUCAAUGUAUGUUCUUGGUACCUUUGUAAAAAAUGAGUUCACUGUAGAUGUAUGGGUUUUUUCCUGGGUUCUCCAUUGUUUUCUGUUGGUCUACGUGUCAGUUUUUAUGCCAGUGCUGUGCUGUUUUGGUUACUAUAGCUCUGUAAUAUAACUGGAAGUCAGGUUAUGUGAUUCCUCCAGUUUUGUUCUUUUUGCUGAGGAUAUCUUUGGAUACUCUGGGUCUUUGUGGUUCCAUAUAUAUUUUAGGAUUUUUUUUUCUAUUUCUGUGAAGAAUGUCAUUGUUAUUUUGAUAGGGAUUGUAUUGAAUCUAUAGAUUGCUUGGGAUAGUAUGAACAUUUUGACAAUAUUGGUUAUUUCAAUUCAUGAACAUGUAAUAUCUUUUCAUUUUUUGGUGUCUUCAAUUUCUUUCAUUAAGAUUUUGUAGUUUUCAUUGUAGAGCUCUUUCACUUCUUUGGUUAAGUUAUUUCCUAGGUAUUUUAUUUCAUUGGUAACUAUUGUAAAUGGAAUUACUUUCUGGAUUUCUUUUACAGAUUGUUUGCUGUUGGCAUAUAGAAAUGCUACUGAUUUUUGUAUGUUUUUUUUGUAUCCUGCAACUUUACUGAAUUUAUCAAUUCUAAUAGUUUUUGUUGAUGGAUAUUUUUUGUUUGUUUGUUUCUUGUUUUUUGUUUGAGACGGAGUUUUGCUCUUGUUGCCCAGGCUGGAGUGCAAUAGCGCCAUAUUAGCUCACUGCAACCUCCACCUCCAGGUUCAAGCAAUUCUCCUGCCUCAGCCUUUCAAGCAGCUGGGAUUACAGGCACCCGCCACCACACCCAGCCAAUUGUUUGUAUGUUUAGUAGAGAUGGGGUUUCACCGUGUUGGCCAGACUGGUCUUGAACUCCUGACCUCAGAUGAUCCACCCACCUCGGCCUCUCAAAGUGCUGGGAUUACAGGUGUGAGCCACCAUGCCUGGCUGAUAUUUACUUUUUUAAACAUUUAAUUGUCAUUUUUUUAAAAAUAGAGAUGGGGUCUGACUGUAUUGCCCAGGCUGAUCUCCAAUUCCUGAGCUAGAGUGAUCCUCCAGCCUUGGCUUCCCAAAAUGCUGGAAUUACAGGUGUGAGCCACCACACCUGACCUGUUGAUGGAUAUUUAGUUUGCUUCCACCUUGUGACUAUUGUGAAUAAUGCUGCAGUGAACAUAGGUAUGGAAAUAUCUCUUCAAAAUCCUAUUUUUAAUUCUUUUAGUUAUAUACUUAGAAAUGGGAUUGCUGGAUCAUGCAGUAGUUUUAGUUUUAAUCCCCUACCUGUAUUUCCUGGAUUCAUCACCCAAAUAAACUAUAUGCUCCAAGCCUUGGUCUCAGUAUGUGCUUCUGGCAGGAACCUAAGCUUAAGCUUGUCACUUGCUUCAGGUUACUCAGUCAAUAAGUGGCUCUUCUGAAUAUCUAUUGCUGUAAAAUGAGCUGUCCCCAAAUCCAGUGGCUUAAACAACACUUCGCAAUUACUUCUGCUUCUGUGAAUUGCCUGGGCUCAGCUGGGUGGCUUUCACUUGGGGUCUGCCAUGGCUGCAGUCAGGUGUUGGCUGGGGCUGGAGGGUCUGAAGGCUCGACUGGACUGGAGGCCCACAGUGGCUCACUUGCACACUGGCCAUUGAUGGCAGGAAGCUCAGCUGAGGCAGUCUGCCAGAACUUCUGCAAGGGGUCUCUUCAUGUGGUGAGGGCUUCCUCACAACAUGGUGGCUGAGUUCUGAGCGUAGAGUCUCAAGAACAAACAUUCCAAGAGACAGGAACAGGCAACUGUUAAGGGCCUUGUCUUUAAAUGGCAGUGUCACUUGUGCCAUAUGCAUUUUAGAGCGGGGUGAAGAAAUGGACCCCCUGGUGGGAUGGGGCAAGGCCACGCUGCAGAAGAGCAUGUGGGAAGGGAGAGAUUUUUGUGGCCAUCUUUGGAAGACACAGUUGGCCAUAGUGACAGAGGCAGUAUUCAGACCCAGGCAGUCUGACUUGGGAAGCUGAUUGCAACCUCUAUGCUGCCUCCACUUGAGAACACAUUCUGAGAAUUCUUGACAUUUCUAAGGGACUGGAGAGCCAGCAAUAAUGGCAAACCUAAGAAAUGCUAUUUUUGUUUAUUAUGACCUCUUUUUAAUGUCCAGACUGAUGUGGCUGGGUGAAUUACAGGUCUCAAGCAGAUUCUAAAAUGUAGAGACAGUAACCUUGAUGUUGACUUUUGGAAAAUUAUAGAGCAGAGCAUGACAUAAACUCAUUUGUGAACAGCAGGGAAAAAAAAUGCAGUGAUGGUGAGGUGGGAGAGUUUGGUGGGGAUGAGCUGUGCCCAGCUGUGGUGGGUGGCAUAACGGCCCCCUAGAGAUAUCAGGUCCUAACCCUUGGAGCCUAUAAAUGUUACCCUGUAAGAAAAAUGGGUCUUUGCAGAAGUGAAUAAGAAUCUUGAGAUAAGAGAUUAUCCUGGACUCUCCAGUGGGCCCUAAAUGCCAUCACAAGUGUCCAUAUAAGACAGAAGUAGACUUGACUCACACUCAGAGAAGAAAGCCAUGUGAAGACAGAGAAGAGAAGGAUUUGAAGACACUGGAUGUGAGAAUUAGAGUGAUGUGGCCAUACGCCAAGGAAUGCUGUAGCUCCCAGAAGCUGGAAGAGGCAAGGAACAGUUUCUCUCCUAAAGCCUCCAGAGGGAGCACAGCCCCACUGAUGGAUUGAUUUCAGUUUGGUGGCACUGAUUUCAGACUUCUGGUCUCCAGGACUGUGAGAUAAUAAAUUUCUGUUGUUUUAAGACCAAAAGUUCAUGGUAAUUAUAGCAACCACAGGCAACGAAUACACAAACCAACUUUCUUUUUAGACAGUACUGGAUAAUGGGGUAAAUAAAUUUGUGUCCAGCCAGCAUUUUAUGUUACUGUUUUUUUUGUUGUUUUUUGUUUUUUGUUUUUUUGUGAGACAGGGUCUUGCUAUGUUGUUUAUGCCAAUCUCGAACACCUGGGCCCCAGUGAUCCAGUCUCAGCCUCCUGAGUAGCUGGGACUACAGGCAUAGGCCACCACCCCCGGCCGGCAUUUUAAUAAAGGAUUGGCAAACUCACUGGUAAUGACGGUGUUUUUUGGUGGGAUUUAUGGCAGAUUGCACGUCUAUCAGCAAAGUGUUUGCCAUCAAGAAGUCUGUUGCCCUGGUGGUCAUGGAGUACCAAAGGGCUCUGUGGUGAGCUCUGCCCUAGCCAAUCAAUGUUCAGUCCACUUUCUGGAUGAAGAUGGCAGAAAGUACAGGGUCAGAUGUGCAGGUGACACAUAUUGGAGGGAACAGUGAAAGUGACAGCCAAAUGGGAGAUGAAAGUGAUUUCGAUAGAUUGGAACUUUGGAGUAAGGCCAAGAUCAAUUGAUAUCAGAGAAAGUUAGGUUUUAAAGAGAAAUCUGGUGUCCAAGCAUAGAACCAGUUGAGGAGGUCUGGGCGGUCUGGGCGGUGUGUGUGAAGAGAAGCUCAGGGUUUCAGCCGUCACCAGCGUGGUGCUGUUUUUGUAAGGGGAACCUAACUUGGGGCACUAUGGGACGAUAGUGUCCAGUUCAUAGAAGCAGAUGGUCCCAGGGUGAUCACGGCUGGUUGGAGCAUACUGAACUACUUUGCUUCAUUUUUAAUACCCCUCCCCUUUUUGAAAAUGUGUAGCAGGACAAUAUGGGAUCAGGAAACCAAGUGUUCUGACUCUGCAUUGUCUGCCCCUCCGUGUUCAUUCUCUGACCUCCUCUACUCUGACCCCAGGAGGCUGACCUCUCUGGACAUUAUCACCCAGAAUAUUAGCUAGCUAGUGCUGUGGAACAAAUCAUCCUGUGGAACAAAACAUAGUGGCCUAAAGCAACAAUAAUCAUUUAAUGUCUCACGGUUUCUGUGGGUUGGGAAUCCAGGAGUGGCUUCUGACUCAUGAGGUUGGCAUCAAGAUGCAGCUGGGUUUGUAGUCACCUGAAGGCGUGGCUGGGGCUGGAGAUGGCUCCCCACCAUGGAUGAUGAGUUCGUGUGGCUGUUGGCAGGAGGCCUCAGUUUUUCACCUUCUGGACGCCUGCACAGGGCUGCUUAAGCAGCCUCACAACAUGGCAGCUGACUCUCGCCAUCGUGAGUGAUUCAAGAGAGAGCAAGAUGGAAGCCACAAUAUCUAUUAUGACCUGGUUACAGUCUGUCAUUUCCACAACUGAUAACACAGGUCAGCCCUAUUUAAUGUGGGAGGGGACUACAUGAGGGCAGGAUUGCCAGGAGGUGGGGUGCAUCUGGAAGGCUGGCUGCCACAGGAACAGUGGGAGGGGAUGUGCUGUGGCCAGAAGAAAAUCAGGACAGACCAGAGCUGGAGGGCAUGAUCUGCCCCAACUCAGGUUGGCCAAGUUCAAGCCCCAGUUCCGGGAUGGAGAGCUCCAUGCCUUGGCCCUGCCAGUGGGACUUCUGCAUGUGCUGGGAGAGAAGAAAGGUUUCCUUUGAGCCCUGCCAGGAUCUUGUUACAGUCUCUACAGAGCAAGACUUCAGGGUCAGAGUGUUGCAUUAUGAAGACAGGAGCCAUGGAGGCUCCAGCAGGAGACAAUGGCUUCCAUUGAGAUAAUAUGACAUAAUGAGGCCACAAGUCCAUAGCCACCACUCAGGAAACAAUAACCAUUUCAAGAGGGCACAGGAGGUGUUACAGAGAGGCGUGGUGACACACCCUACCCACCGUGGCCUCAGAGAUGGUGCUAAGGCCGAAAGUUUGCUGGGAUUUGUCUGAAAAGGUCAGUUAUUAAAAACAGCUUCUGGCUGGGCGCGGUGGCUCACACCUAUAAUCCUACCAGUUUGGGAGGCCGAGGUGGGCAGAUCACUUGUGGCCAGGAGUUCAAGACAACGCUGGCCAACAUGGUGAAACCCUGUUUCUAAUAAAAAUACAAAAAUUAGCUGGGUGCGGUGGCAUGUGCCUGUAAUCCCAGCUACUCAGGAGGCUGAGGCAGGAGAAUCGCUUGAACCCGGGAGGCGGAGGUUGCGGUGAGCCAAGAUCAUACCACUGCACUCCAGCCUGGGUGACAGGGCAAGACUCUGUCUCUAAAUAAAUAAAUAAAUCAAACAGCCUCUUAAAAACACAGCGGCUUCUGACCUUCAUGCACUUUGUUAUUGCUCAGGCCAGGGUGGUGCUUUCCUGAUUCCUUUUCCGAGUUUAUGAAGGCACCGUUACUGCUUAGCAUCAGGUGAGAAGAGAGGGGUACAUUAGGAAUUAGAAGAAGAAGGUUUGAGCAUGACUUGUUUGAAACAGUUGUGUGGGUCUCUCUCUGUUUCCCUGAUGUCUGUCUUUGAGAUCUUGUAUCCAGCAGAGCGCUGGCUGACAUCCUGUCCCAGGAGCAGAGAGUGCUAUGUGUGGGUCCAGCCAUUUGUCUGCUGGCAGGGGACUGGGGAUGGGCUUGGGCCUUGCAGUUGAGCAGAAUCCCACCCUCCACCACUGGGCCCUGGGGCUGGGCUUCUUGGUGUCAUACCUGGAAUUAUUAUCAGUGAAGUACUACUCUGCCACGAUGUCUCACAGCCAGGAUGCGGAGAGCACAGAAAAAUCCCCAAAGAAGGACCUCCCUUGGAAAAUACUUGCCAACUACCAGGUCCCCCAAGACAGAAGGCACAUGUGGGUAGACCUGGGUGUUCCUGAUGGGAGUGCCCAGAAAAGAACCUCUCUUGGAAAGAAGGACCCUGCUAAACCAGGGCUUACAGAUCAUAGUUCCAUGUGGAAGGCCCUCUGGAAUAUUUGUGAAGGCCAUUGGGGAGGACAGGCUGGAAUUUCCACCUGAGCUUAGCCACUUACAGAUGGUAUGACCUUUGUGAGUUAAUGCGUGUCUUCGUGGAAUGGCUGUCUGGCAUUCUGUGGCCUUCCAGUGCGUCUUUCCCCUUCCAGCAGCCCUCCAAUUUUCUUUUGGGGAACUAUUUGUCCUCUCCCUGGCUUGAACGUCAUCAAGGAGGUUGCUGGAGGGGAUGUCUGUGGGAGAUGCAAUUGACUCAAAGCCAACACAAGCUUGCUCCAUACCUUUAUUUACCUGAAUGUCUGGGGUCUGGAACAGCUCUGAGUGAGUAGAAUUUCCUGUAAGUGAAAUCAUAUUUUAAUUGCAGGGGGACGUUUGCUUUUUAAAGGGAGCUUGUUGAAAAUAUUUAUAAAAACAAAAAAAUCAUUUAGCUGUGCAUGUAAUUGCUCCCCAAUUUCUGCACUAAAUUCGUACUUUCUAAUUGGGUUGUAAACUCUCAAAGCAUCUGCACUGGGCUUGCUUCGGUUUGCUUCUCCUCCCUGCUCCCCUCCCAGCCUUGCCUGUUCCCUGUCUGCUCUGUGUCCCGGGAUGCAGGGCUCUGGAGCCUGGAGCAGUGGGCUCCCAUGAUGUCUAGUUUCCAGCUGGGUUCACUCCACGGGAUAGUGUGUGGAAGACAGGAGGGGAGGGAGUCUGGGUAUCCACCUCCCCAGCCCUUCCUUUCGGAUUCCCUGUGGGUCGUGUACUUCCUCUUCCUAAAGGUCCUGGCUUCUGUCCAGGGAGCUCUCAUUGCCACUACCCUCUUGGCUUCCUGUAAUUACUUCUUCACUUUUAGGAAUCGUCCCCUGAUGUUGCUGGCCACAGAAUUCUGAAUUAGCCUGCACUGAUUUCCUAAAUCCUAUCUGUGCCUUUGUAAAUAGUCUCUUUAUUAAACUCCCCUCAAACUGCCCAGUCUGAGUGUGCCAUCUGCAUCUCCAGGGACCCUGGAAGAUGUGAUAUUCAAAAUUUGAUUUUAUACAAUAUUUUUAAAAGCUCCGUGGUGUUCUCUUUCUCUUUUGAAGGCCUCAGGAAAGAUUUAGGAUCUGUGUGUUCAAUUGAAUUGCUAUUGUUUGAACUUUAAAAACCAGAGCUGACCUUUGGAGAAGAGGAGAAGGGUAGCUUUGUGUCUUUCUUCAGUGCAAGACUCAACUGAGUUUUAAAAGUCACAGCUGCUGGACCAAAUUGAAGAUGGUUUCAUCCCCAAGGGCGAUAGCCCCGGAAAGCUCAGAGUAAGUUACAACAGGACUGGAGAGAGACGGCACCAGGUCUGCUGCUGUUUUCACUACUGUGAGCCUUACAUGAAAGCCAGAUCAAGAGUUGGGGGCUGGAGGAAAGAAAUCAGGACAGUAGGAUGGCAAGUUCCCUGCUUUCAAAGGGGUCCUGAGAUAGGGUUCUGAAGAGGGGAAUGCAUUCCGGAAUCCACUGAUAGUUACUAAGAAAAGACACAAGUCAAUAAGAUAAAUAUUGAUGGAACAUCCAGUGGAUUUUUCAUGGCUGCUCACCGGGACGCUGUCAUCCCUCAGUGUAGAAGGUAUUCAGGGACGGGAAGAGGUUCCUGAGGAUGAGUGGAUAGAAGUGGGUUGUGGUACAGUAUGCAAGUAUGAGCUUGCCUUUGUGGAAGGGGGAAUGGAGUCUGUAUCUAUUUAGAGCAUGUAAACUCAUGAGCUGGAGGGGAGCCGUAUACCUCACAUGUGAGGUAUAGCAGAGAGCAGGGACAAGGGAGAGAAGCAGAUACCUAGAGACAAAGAGAACCAGUCGUGAGAACCUGCAUGGAGUCCGUUGUUCUUAUCAGGGGUCCCACAGCCCUUCGGUAAAUCCCUCUUUGUCUCCUGGGCUGGCCUGAAGUGGGAUCAGUUAUUUGCCACAUUGAGAAUUCUGAGACAUUUAGCACUGCCGUGAUCACGCCCAUUUUCCAGAUGCAGAAACAAAGGCUGAGAGAAGCCACGCAACUUGGAAGUAAAUGGUGAAGUUCAGAUUCGAACCCAGGUCAUCUGAGCUGAAUACUGAUAUUUGCCACGUUGCUGGAGCCAGGGGCUUCCAGGAGUUGCUUGGAGGUGACUCUGAGGCACCUGACUCUGUUAGGGCAUCAACAGAAAACCGUGGUACCUCAAGGGAUUUCAAAAGAGAUUUUCUUAAUGGAGGGUCUGCUCCUGGUCUGAGUUUAGGGAAACAAGGGAUGUUGAGGCACGCAGGCACUAGCAGCAGUGGGGAGCUGUUAUGCCCUCCAGUGGAAGGCCAUGGAAGAGUGUUUCCAGCUGCUGGGGAGAAGGGCAGCGUGGAGGAGGGCCACCGACUGAAGCCCCUGCCAGAACCAUGGGGAGGGAGGGAGAGAAGAAUGUGGGGGAUAAAUAUUCUACACUUUGCCUCCCCACUGCCCCACCCCCCACAACCCCCAUCUCCUGCCACUGUCGGCUAUUGGCUGGAUCAACCAGGAAGUGGAGGACCAGGGAUCCCAGGCAGUGCGGUCCCGAGGGCUCAGCCUUCCAGGGGGUAGGGCCAGGCAGGGAAUGUUCGGGAAGCGGAUGGAAAUACCCUAACCAGCACACCACUCACCCUGCGGAGUCCAGCUGAGUCCUAAAUGCCUUUAUGAGCAGGACUCAGGGGAGCCCGGUGUGGAUAAAGGGGCUUCCUGGAGAAGCAGCUGAGUGGAGAGAGGGAGGGGCUGCCCCUCCCUGGCUUGUCCCCUGGAGGUGGUGUCCCUCUAUACCACCCACUCCUUCUCCCUCCCCUUGCCCCUUUCUCCCAUUUUUUUGUCUCCAUAGAUUCUACUUUCUUUCUCUUUUCCCAUAAAAGGAAACCCAUGGAGGAAAAGGGCGGCAGGGGCCACUGCAGGGAUCUCCCCUCACCCAAACUCCCCCUCCACGUACACCUAACAGGCAUGGGACACAUGUGUGUUGCAGCUAUGAUUAUUUAUUUAUUUAUUUUUAGAGACAGGGUCUUGCUCUGUCACCCAGGCUGGAGUGCAGUGGCACAGUCAUAGCUCACUGCAGCCUUGAACUCCUGUGCUUGAGUGAUCCUCUGCCUCAGCCUCCUGAUUAGCUGGGACUACAAGUGUAUGCCACCGCACCUGGUUAAUUUGUCUAUUUUAUUGUAGAGACAGGGACUCGAGAUGUUGUCUAGGCUGGUGUUGAACUCCUGGGCUCAAGUGGUUCUUCUGCCUCAGUCUGCCAAAGCGCUGGGAUUACAGGCAUGAGCCACCAUGCCCAGCCUUUGCACAUAUGAAUGAAGCAGGGGGGUGAGAUCAAGGCUGGGAGAGACUUGGAAUGGCAGUUCUGAGACAAGGAUCUGGGCACAGGAGGUUUAUGUGUCAGGUGAUUCCCAGAGGCACAAGGGAGGGGAGGGGAAAGGGGGACAGGAGACAGGGAGCCAACAGUGGCUGCAUUAAAAGCCUGUUACUAGUGUGGGCGCCUGGACUCCAUUCUGUUGGAAUCAUCUGAGGACAUAAGCCAAACUCUUAUUGGUGAGGUUUGCUGUGGACAGCAUUAAACCCUCAUCAGUUCUGGGCUGUUCUACAGACAGUGGGAGUGAUGGCACAUCUUUGUACCCAUCACUGGUGGGUUGCAGGGUGGGGAAAGGCUGGUGGCAGGGGCCCUGAUUAGGGGAGAGCCUGAAUAAGCCCUUCAGCUGAACUUAGAGGGGUGAGGAGCCUUCAGAGAGGCUGGAGGCUGCGCACACGUCGCCAGUGAGUGCCCGUGAGCCUGGAAGUGGCUGCUGCUUGCUGGACACACUGGAGUCUGGCAGGGUCAGCUGAGCAGCUCUUGUCUCCUCGGCUGUCCAGCCAGCCUGGCAGCCUCCUGGGACCUUUGAUGACUUGAUCCCAGUGCCUGGUGGAGGAAGGGAGGCGGUGGGCCCUCCAGGCCAGGCCACACAGACCAGCCUUUGUGCCGUGUGGCCUACGGGAGGUGUAGGCUGUCUGCACGCUCAGCGCGGCUGGGCCUCAACACAGGCUCUCUUUGUGGUGCCCAGGAACCAGGAGGUGCGGGGGUGGGACAUGGUGGUGGGAGGCGCAGGAGCAGGUUUCCCCGGGAGCAGCCACGUUGUGACGUGUUGGGGUGACUGCCCCAACAGAGACUUGGGGGAAGGUAGCAGGCUGGGCCAAGGGGCACCAGCAGCUUCCGGGGGCUGGGGGUGGAAGGUUCCUGGAGGAGGUUCCCUCUGGCCAGCCCCGGGAUUCCACACAGCAGGCAGAAGCCACCUCCUACAAGCAGCCCUCCAGGCCCACCUGCCUGGCCUGAGCUUAAGCCCCUCCUGACUCUAAUUCUUGCUAAUUAAAGCUGCCCAAUGACUCAGGGCCCUUGGAACCUGCCACUGGGCCUUUAACAUCUCAGGAGCCACGGUUUCAAAUGCACAAGCAUGAAUGUUUAUAAGGUUUGUUCUGGCAAGAUUCCUGGUCAACUGAAAGGGUCUGUGUGGGUCCAUGGCAUCUUAAGGCCCAGACCAGCUCCUCCUUGACCAUUUUCCUGGCCUCAUCCCCUGCUCUGUAAUUUGCUCACAUGGUCCUGCCAGGCAGGGCCAGCCUCAUGGGCUUGUGACCUGUGGAGUCACACGGGGUCCCAUGCCCAGAUGAGCCCUUGCACUUGGCUUCAUACUCUGUUGUCACUAUCUUGGAAUUCUUAAUACCUUUUGAACAAGGGGCCCACAUUUUCAUUUUGCACUGAACCCCACAAAAAUAUAGCCAGUCCUGCCUCAGGGCUCAGGGAGGGGACAGGAGAGCUCUCAGUCAUAGCUCGAGAGAGUCCUUAGCCCACCUCCCCAACCUCUCCCUGACUCAGGCCUCCAUCACCAUGGGGGGGCUAAGUGACAGUCUCUCCUUUUUUUUGAGACAGAGUCUCGCUCUUAUUGCCCAGGCUGGAGUGCAAUGGUGCGAUCUCGGCUCAUUGUAACCUCCACCACCCGGGUUCAAGCAAUUUUCCUGCCUGAGUCUCCUGAGUAGCUAAGAUUACAGGUGCUCGCCACCAUGCCCGGCUAAUUUUUGUAUUUUUAGUAGAGAUGGGGUUUCACCAUGUUGGCCAGGCUGGUCUCAAACUCCUGACUUCAGGUGAUCCUCCGGCCUUGUCCUCCCAAAGUGCUGGGAUUACAGACGUGAGCCACUGCGCCCGGCCAAAGUGACAGUCUCUUAAGCACUUUGUGGACAUCAACUUACUCUGAAACCUCCUGCACAAUUAUUUUUUUAAAAAUAAUUGCUUCAUUAAAAUUAUAUACACUUAUUGUGAAAUUUUAAACAAUGUAGAAAAAUACCAAGAAGAAAGUGAAGAAAAAAUGAUUCAAAUUCCAUUAUGAAGAGAUCACUGUUAUUAGCAUUUUGGUGAACUUUAUUAUGGUGCUCUGUGUGUGUGUGUGUAUUUAUAUAUAUUUAUAUUCACACCCAUAUAUAUGUAUCUACACACAUUUACCUACAUAUAGUUUUAUGUAAAUGGGAUCAUAAUGUACAUAUUAUAUGUCUGUGUGUGUAUAUAUAUUUAACAAUAUAUUAAGUUUUGGGCAGUUCAAGGUCCAGGACCUAUAGAUUUAUUUCACUAAUUCUGACAGUUGCAUGGAGUUCCAUUGCACUUUAAACCAUCAAAAAUGACUGACCCAGUCCCCUGUAGCUGCAUGUGGCAGCGGCUGCCACAUGUUCACUCUUAAAAACAAGGCCAUGGUGUCUGGGCGCGGUGGUUCAUGCCUGUAAUCCUAGCACUGUGAGAGGCUGAGACAGGCAUAUCACCUGAGGUCAGGAGUUCGAGACCAGCCUGGCCAAGAUGGCAAAACCCCAUCUCUACUAAAAAUACAAAAAUUAGUCAAGUGUCGUGGCAGGCACCUGUAAUCCCAGCUACUCAGGAGGCUGAGGCUGGAGAAUCGCUUGAACCUGAGAGACAAAGGUUUUAGUGAGCCGAGAUUGUGCCACUGCACUCCAGUCUGGGUGACAGAGAGAGACUCUGUCUCAAAAAAAAACAAACAAAAAACAAGGCUAUGUUGAACAUUCCUACAGAUACACCUUUGGUGGGGAGGGCAAUCCUGGGUUUCCUGUUCUCUUAUUUAUAAUGGAGGGGCUGAAACGUUCAGAAGCCCCGAGCAGUGGGCAGUUAGAUGGGGGGCAUAUUUCAACCCCUGGGGUUGCAGUGGUUGUUCCCAAACCUGACUGUAUUUUCAUUCUCCGAGGCACGUGUUGAAUAUCCCAAUCCAAAUCUCCGGGGGCCCAGUCACCCUGCUGCCCUCUGCACAGGCCCCAGAGACUUGUUCUUUUUUUUUUUUUUUUUUUUUUUUAAUUUUUGUUUGUAGAGAUAGGGUCUUGCCAUGCUGCUCAGGCUGGCCUUGAAUGCCUGGGCUCGUGAUCCUCCUGCCUUGGCCUCCCAAAGCACUGGGAGUAUAGGUGUGAGCCACCGAGCCCAGCUGACUUGCUUCUUUAAAUUAGUUCCUAGCAGACCUACUUGUGCUUUCCUCCUUUGCCUCUGGCCCUGGGUGUCCUCUCUGAGAAGGGACAAUGACAGCGCUCUGCUCUGAGGAGCUGGCUCAGUUGCCUGUCACUUGGAUGACGCCUCGUGCCAUAGCUUUGGACAUCUCCAUCAGCACUGCGUCCCCUGCGUUGCAGCACCUGACAUAAUGGCAGGUGCCCAACAAGUAUCUUUGCAUUGGAUGAAAAGUCUUCUUGGCCAGGCGCAGUGGCUCACACCUGUAAACCCAGCACUUUGGGAGGCCGAGGCGGACAGAUCACCUGACGUCAGGAGUUCAAGACCAGCCUGGCCAACAUGGUGAAACCCUGUCUCUACUAAAAAUACAGAAAUUAGCCGGGUGUGGUGGUGGGUGCCUGUAAUCCCAGCUACUUGGGAAGCUGAGACAGGAGAAUCUCUUGAACCCAGGAGGCGGAGGUUUUAGUGAGCCGAGAUCACACCACUGCACUCCAGCCUGGGCAACAAAGAGCGAAACUCUGUCUCAAAAAAAAAAAAGAAAAGAAAAGAAAAGUAGUUUCACAUCCUUUUUUUAAAAUUUCCCCUCAACAUUUUAUUAUAAAGAUUUUCAAACACACAGAAAAGUUGAAUGCAUUUUCCAGUGAACACCCACAUAUGCACCCCCUGGAUGGCAUUUUACUGUAUCUCUUCAUCACACAGCUCCACAUCUACCCAUUACUUCAUCUUAUUGUUUUCCACCUUUCAAGGGGAGCCACAAACCUCAGUACACUUCACUCCCAAAGGUCUCCACAUGUAUAUCAUUAAGUAGCAUUCAGGAAUGCCUUUAUAGUUCAUUUUAGGUAAAAUUUACAUAGAGUGAAAUGUUCCAAUCUUAAGUGCACCAUUUGCUGGAUUGUGACAAAUGCAGACAUCUGUUAAAUCAGACUCCUCCCAAGGGAAAGAUGUUCCCCUCCCCUCAGAAGGUUCCUUCGUGUCCCUUGCCAGUCAGGCCACCCCCACACUGCCCCCCGCGGCAACCCCUGUUCAGGUUUUUAUUUCAUUAUAGAUGAGUGUUUCCUGUUCUAAAACUUCUUGGAAAUGAUUUGUACUGCAGGUGCCCUUCUGAGUUCUGGCUUCUUUCCCUCCCUGUAGCGAUUCUGAAAUCUGUCCUCGUUGCUGUGGGUUUCAGUAGCUUGUCCCCUGCUGUUGCUGAGCGGGGCCCCCCUGUGUGUAUGUACCUACCAUGGGGUGUUCAUCCCUCCCACUCUGUAUCACUCAGCACACAUUAAAACACCCUUAUAUACUAUCUCUCACUCGACUCAAUUUGCCUGAGGUCCCACUGCCAAUUCAAGGGCAGUCAGGAUUUGUCUCUAUGUUUCCAGGCAGGGAACCCAUCCAAAGGUCACUGAUGAAGACCUGCCCAAUCUUACUGGACCUCUGGUGGCCUCUACUCAAUCUGCCCCCUGCCCCAGCCAGCACUGCAGGGCUUCCUGACGGUGGUGGGUAUGUUGGCUGCCUCGGCUUCCUCUCCUCAUGUUCCCCCUUCAAUUCACUGCAGGCUGGCUUUGGCUGCCCCUUCCCAUCUUAUCAGUCCUCCUAGUAACAUCCAACGCAGUCACCCCCGCUGCUCACAGAAACCUCCCCUCUGUUGCCCUCUGUGCCCACCCGCCUGCCUCCACGGCUGCUGUGACUCAGUUUCCUUGGCUGUCCCUCCUCUCGGUGACCUUCAGCGUUGAGGAGUCUUCAAGGUCUAGUUCUGGACAGUUGUCUCUGCUCUCUGAACUCUCACUUCCUACAAGGUUGCAUCCAGAACCAUGGCUUUAAAUUCCACCCAGGUGCUGGUAAUGCCACAGCCAGACCUUCCCUUAAUUCUGGAAUCUCCAGGCUUGGAUAACCGUAAUCUCCACUUCGGGAUCAAAUAAUCCUCCCAAAUUUAACAGCACCAGAAACAGAAGCCUUGGUUCCCCUCUCUAGUCUGAUCCUGCCCUGCCCUCCCAUCCCCAGUAAGUGGUCCCAUGAACCCAGAAGUAGCUCAAGCCUGAAGCCUGGGGGUUGUUCUUGAUUUCUCCCAUGUCCUUGUCUCCUACAUCUAACUUAUUACCAAUCCACAGAGCAUCCAUCUCCAAAUCACAUGCUUUUUUUAAACCGUAGUGUGGAGGUAUGAUUGACACACAAAAAGCUGUAGGUUUUUUUUGUUUGUUUUGAGACGGAACUUGGCUCUGUCUCCCAGGCUGGAGUGCAGUGGUGUGAUCUCGGCUUGCUGCAACCUCCACCUCCCAGGUUCAAAUGAUUCUCAUACCUCAGCCUCCCGAGUAGCUGGGAUUACAGGCAUGAGCCAUCAUGCCUGGCUAAUUUUUGCAUUUUUAGUAGAGAUGGGGUUUUACCAUGUUGCCCAGGUGGUCUCAAACUCCUGACCUCAAGUGAUCCACCCGCCAUGGCCUCCCAAAGUGCUGGGAUUACAGGCAUGAGCCACCAUGCCCGGCCUGUAGAUAUUUAAUGUAUACAACUUGAUGGAUGGAGAUAUGUACACACCUGCGAAAACAUUCAUCAAGGCCAUAAACUUAUCCAUCACUCUAAGUGUCCUUCCGUCUCCUCUGUUUCUUUUUCAUUUCCUUAUGUGGUAAGAGGACUAAACAUGAGAUCUACUCUGUUAGCAAAUUUGUAAGUGUACAGUACAGCAUUGUUAAUCACAGGCCCUAGUUGUACAGUAGAUCUCCAGAAUGUAUUCAUCCUGCGUAACUGAGACAUUGUACCCUUUGACCAACAUCACCCUGUUUCCCCCUCUUCCCAGUCCCUGGCAACCAUCAUUCUACUUUCUGCUUCUAUGAGUUUGGCUGUUUUCCGUUCCAUGUAUAAGAGAGAAAGUGCAGUAUUUGAUUUUCUCUGUCUGAGUUACUUCAGGAUCUCAUCAUGUCCUCCAGGUCCAUCCAUGUUGUCACAAAUGGCAGGAUUGAUCCCUCUCUCCCUUCCUUCCUUCCCUCCUUUCUUCUUUCUUUCUCUUUUUUAGAUACAGGGUCUUGCUCUGUUGCCCAGGCUGGAAUGAAACAGUGCUGUCAUAGCUCAGGGCAGCCUCCAGCUCCUGGGCUCAAGCGAUCCUCCUGCCUCAUCCUCUUGAGCAGUUCAAACUACAGGCAUGCGCCAUGAUACCCGGCUAAUUUUUAAAUUUUUUGUAGAGACAGGAUCUUGCUUUGUUGCCCAGGCUGGUCUCAAACUUCUGGUUUCAAGUGAUUGAUUCUCCUGCCUUGGCCUCCCAAAGUGCUGGGAUUACAGGUGUGACCAACCACCCUGGCCCUGGAUUUCCUUCUUUUUAAACGUUGAAUAAUAUUCCCUCAUAGGUGUAUACUACAAUUUCUUUAUCCAUUUUUCCACUGAAGGACAUUUAGGUUGUUUCCAGAUCUUGGCCAUUUGUGAGUAACACCGCAAUGAACCUGGGUGCGCAGAUAUCAUCUCUUCAAGAUCCUGAUUUCAGUUCCUUCAAAUACAAUCUUAAACCUCUCCCCUUCUUUACCCCCAUUGCCACUGCCCUAGUCCAUGGGCCAUGCUUAAACUACAAGUAUUUCUGGUUUAUCUGUAAUUCAGAUGUAACUGGCUGCCCUGCCUGUGAGGGGCUGCAGCCGGCUAGCACCUCCUCUCUAACCUCGUCCCCACUAUGGAGUUCCUGUUCCUGCUACCCAGGCCAGGCAGGCUCAGAGUGAGCCAGGACAACCCCCUGCCUCCGCUUCUUUCCCCCUGCAGGCAUCUGAGGGGGAAGCAGAUCCUCUGCAACCGCGAGAUCUGAGAUGUCUCCGCUGCUCAGGCAGAGCGGGGUCUCUGCCCUACUGCUCAGACACAGGCGUUCCACUUGGCUUGCUGUCAAGAGACUGACUCCAGAGCUCUGAUUUUAAGGAUCGAGGAGACUGACAUCUGUGAGGAUCCCAGCAGAGGGCCUGCCUGGCUCACUCGGGGCCAGUACAUGGCAGUGCCCCCUUGGUCCUCCUCAUGCCUGCUUCCCCCUGGGCACAGACAGGGGCUGGGCUGGUGAGGAAGCCAUUCUCCAGGGGGAGCAGAUCUGACAGGACUCAUUUCUCCUCUCCCUGAGCAGGCUUCUUUUAAAACCACUGCAUGUUUGGCCAGGUACCGUGGUUCAUGCCUGUAAUCUCAGAACUUUGGGAGGCUGAGGUGGGUGGAUCAGCCUGGGCAAUAUGGUAAAACCCUGUCUUUACAAAAAACAUGGAAAAAAUUAGCCUGGCAUGGUGGCAAGUGCCUAUAGUCUCAGCUACUCGGGAUGCUGAGAUGGGAGGAUCACCUGAGCCCGGGAGGUUGAGGCUGUGGUGAGCCAUGAUCAUGCCACUGUACUCCAGCGUGGGUGACAGAGUGAGACCCCGUAUCAAAACAAACGAAAAAACUCCCCCAAACCCCCCACUGCAUUUUAAACCAUGCACAGUAGUGAGCAGUCCUGUUUCAGGGCAGUUCUGGGAAUUACAAGGACAAAAUCUGGCCUUGUGCCUGGUGGAGCAACGUGGGGGUGUGGACGCCUGUGUGUGAACGCCCCUCACCCACGCGGGACAAAGUCCAUCCUCUGUGCCAGGCCCUGGGCAAGCCAGCCCGGCUGAUCCACCUUGCUCCUCCCCCUCUCUUCUUUGUGUUCCCUGCAAACUCCUGCCAAGUUUGCAAGCAGAAAGAGCUGACGGUUUGGGGUUGUGCAGAACAUUCCUUUCUAGAAUAGAAGUCAGCUGGUGGGGAAGCAGAUGCCCCUUACUCUCGGUGCCUCAACUUCCUCAUUGGCCUAACGGGGCUUAGGAAUUCUGCCUGCUUCUCCUGGAGAGCACAGGGGCCCACCAGGCCCACCAGGCCCACCAGGCCCCCAGUGCUCAGUAAGAGGGGUACCUUCUGUCCAUGCAAGUGGCCCUCCUUUGAGACCCAGCGCCCGACUACCCAACAACUUGGAGCUGUUUCCUCCUUGUUCGUAGCACUUUCUGGCCUCUUCCCUUGCCGUCUUCAGUGGGUGGCAUGGUGGCCCUUUCUCUUUACAUUUUUUUCUGGCACUAGAAUCUGAGCUCCUUGAUCUGCAGGGAUUGUGGUUUCCCCACACAGUGCCUGGCACACAGGUAGUGCUCAAUAAAUGCUCACCACGGCAGAAUUUAACUGUCUUUGAGGUAUCCAGAAUAUAGAGACAGGUUCCUCCAGCUUCCUACUCCCUCAGGCCUAUUCUAAAACAAAACCUUAAUUUCUGUCCCUGAAGGCAGGUCCUCCUUUAGCCAACUGCAGGUCUCCUUAGGAAGAGUAAGAUUCCAAGUCCUAAUUUAUCCUUUUUAUACCUAAGGUGGAUCAGCCCUGAUUUUAUGUUGGGACCUUUACUUGUACUAUUUUAUAUAAUCCUCAAGAUAACCCUAUGAAGUAGGUACUGUUAAUAUCAUCCCCAUUUUACAGAUGCAAAAACUGAGGACCAGAGAGAUUAAGCAACUUGCGUAAAGUCACACAGCCAGCAAGCAGUGCACAAGGGAUUUGAACCCAGACCCUUCUGAUGCCAGAGCGAAUGCCCUUGAACCUCUGGGCUACACUGCCUGAGGGCUGCAGGGCUCUAAAGGGAUAAGGAAGGAAGCUUGGAGGGACCGAGUGCCAGGGGAGUGAGAGGGGUGUGUGUAUGAGUGUGUGGGUGGGUGGGGCUUUGCAGGGAGGCGGUUGCUACAGAGGGGCAGGGGAGGGGGGUGCUGGAACGUGGGGGAGGUAGACAGAGGAGCCCCAGAAGCAGUCAGCUGUGCUGACGAUGGAUGGGGCAGGAGAAGAGAAACCCCAGGCAAGGGAGGUGAAGCUCUGUGAGAGGCCACACCAAGCUCUCCCUCCUGCCCAGGGCACAGCGCCAGGCCUCACUUUUGAAGCUAACGAGAAGCAGAUGGAGGAGUGGGAUGGGCUAGAGGCGGAGACUGCGUCUGCUACGUGGCACCCCUCGGCAAGCCUGGAGCUUCUGCCAGCGGCCAAGAGUGGGGCAGGGCCUUGCAGCUGGACUGUGGGUCUCCCUCAGGGUUUACUACAGCUUGGACUUGCCAGCGCAAGAGAGUGGAUCUUAUUCAAAGAUAGGUUCAAACAUUAGCAGCCUCAGUGAACGAUGCAGCCUGGGCUCCAUGGAGUUGCUACCACCCAUAAAAGGGUGUCCCUCCUGCCAUGGGCUUCCCUUUCCUUCCCUGACACAUGGACAAUCCAGCCCACAGGUCUGAGCCCCCCAGAGCAGCUGGCUCCCAGGCUGCGCCAUCCCUUCCAGAGAGGGGUGAGAGUGGGUAGUGCAGGUGCUUGGAAGCCAGAGGGGUGGCUCUGAAGGGAUAGCUAGGAUUCAGGAUCCAGGGAGAGCACUGGGGGCUGGGGUGGCAGCCCCAUGUGGGCCAGGACUGGGUGUGUUGGUGACAGCAGCAUCCCCAGCACCUUGCAUGGUGUGCCUAGUCGAUGCAUAAUCAACACUUUAGUUACGUCACAUAACGGCUCUGUAAACAGGAUCUGGAAUCAGCCAUGGGCUUGAACCUCAGUCCCACUAUUACUAGCUCAGCAGAGGGCUUGACCCCCCUCCCCAACUUUUUUAGUGACAGGGUCUUGCUCUGUCACUCAGGCUGGAGCGCAGUGGCAUGAUCAUAGUUCACUGCAGCCUUGAACUUGUGGGCUCAGGCGAUAUUCCAGCUUCAGCCUCUGGAGUAGCUGGGAUUAUAGGCGUGUGCCACCACACCUGGCUAAUUUUUAAAUUUUUUGUAGAAAUGAGGUUUCACUUUGUUAUCCAGGCUAGUCUUGAACUUCUGGGCCCACGUGAUCCUCCCGCCUUGGCCUCCCAAAGUGCUGGGAUUACAGGCAUGAGCUACUGUGCUUGGCCAGGGCUUAACCUCUUUAAGCUUCCGUUUUCCUAUCCGAGGCUUCCAACUCAGGCAGCUCUGAGCCAGCUCUGAACCAGUCACGACUUGCUGCCUCUUAAAGGUGCAGAGCUCAGCACAGUGCCUGGCACAUAGUAAGUGCUUAGUAAAAGCCAUCAUGGACAUUUAAUUCACAAACAGGUGGAGGAUGCAGCAGAGUGUCCUGGUCUUCCUGAAAGAAGUGAAGUGAUGG